CCCGCACAAGCGGUGGAGCAUGUGGUUUAAUUCGACGCAACGCGAAGAACCUUACCGGGGCUUGACAUCCCCUGACCGCGUAUGAAAGUACGUUUUCACCCUCGGGUGACAGGGAGACAGGUGGUGCAUGGUUGUCGUCAGCUCGUGUCGUGAGAUGUUGGGUUAAGUCCCGCAACGAGCGCAACCCCUACGUUUAGUUGCUAACGCGUGAAGGCGAGCACUCUAGACGAACUGCCGUUGACAAAACGGAGGAAGGUGGGAUGACGUCAAAUCAUCAUGCCCCUUAUGUUCUGGGCUACACACGUGCUACAAUGGCCGGUACAGACGGACGCAAAGCCGCGAGGUGGAGCAAAUCCUAAAAAGCCGGUCUCAGUUCGGAUUGCAGGCUGCAAUUCGCCUGCAUGAAGUCGGAAUCGCUAGUAAUCGCAGGUCAGCAUACUGCGGUGAAUACGUUCCCGGGCCUU
rnacentral:rRNA from 1 species